rnacentral:rRNA from 1 species
AUUGAACGCUGGCGGCAUGCCUUACACAUGCAAGUCGAACGGUAACAGGUCUUCGGAUGCUGACGAGUGGCGAACGGGUGAGUAAUACAUCGGAACGUGCCCGAUCGUGGGGGAUAACGCAGCGAAAGCUGUGCUAAUACCGCAUACGAUCUACGGAUGAAAGCGGGGGAUCUUCGGACCUCGCGCGGACGGAGCGGCCGAUGGCAGAUUAGGUAGUUGGUGGGGUAAAGGCUCACCAAGCCGGCGAUCUGUAGCUGGUCUGAGAGGACGACCAGCCACACUGGGACUGAGACACGGCCCAGACUCCUACGGGAGGCAGCAGUGGGGAAUUUUGGACAAUGGGCGCAAGCCUGAUCAGCCAUGCCGCGUGCAGGAUGAAGGCCUUCGGGUUGUAAACUGCUUUUGUACGGAACGAAAAGUCUCUUUCUAAUAAAGAGGGAUCAUGACGGUACCGUAAGAAUAAGCACCGGCUAACUACGUGCCAGCCGCCGCAGUAA